rnacentral:rRNA from 1 species
AUACGGAGGAUCCGGGCGUUAUCCGGAUUUAUUGGGUUUAAAGGGAGCGUAGGUGGAUUGUUAAGUCAGUUGUGAAAGUUUGCGGCUCAACCGUAAAAUUGCAGUUGAAACUGGCAGUCUUGAGUACAGUAGAGGUGGGCGGAAUUCGUGGUGUAGCGGUGAAAUGCUUAGAUAUCACGAAGAACUCCGAUUGCGAAGGCAGCUCACUAGACUGUUACUGACACUGAUGCUCGAAAGUGUGGGUAUCAAACAGGAUUAGAUACCCUGGUAGUCCACACAGUAAACGAUGAAUACUCGCUGUUUGCGAUAUACAGUAAGCGGCCAAGCGAAAGCAUUAAGUAUUCCACCUGGGGAGUACGCCGGCAACGGUGAAACUCAAAUGAAUUGACGGGG